GAGGGUGUAGCUCUGUGGUAGAGUGCAGACCUAGCAGGCACGGGGUCCUGGGUUCAAUCCCCAGUACCUCCA
rnacentral:tRNA from 1 species